GCCCCGGUGGCCAAACGGAUAAGGCAGCGAGCUUCUACCUCGCCGAUUGGGGGUUCGACUCCCUCCCGGGGCGCCA
rnacentral:tRNA from 1 species